CCUUCUGGCAGAGAUUCUCCCAGGCCGAUGGCUCUCGGCUACCCACUCACCUGGGCAGGACUCCUGCCCUCCAGCCUGGCUUUUGGCUCAGGGCAAUGCCCCUCCACUGAGACAGGGGGCGCUACUCACCGUGCCGGAAUUCACGUAUUUCUUUUUCUUCAUUUUCUUUUUCGGAUUUAUCACCUGUAGGGAAAAAUAACUAGUGUUUGAAAGCAGUCAGGGCAGGUUCGGGGCUCCCAGCAGACCUGGGUGUGGCUUGGGCAGCAGCCCAGCAGGGUACAGGUGUGACCACAGUCUGGGAAGGGCUCUGCCAGGUUUUGUGAGAUGCUGGCAUCUGGGCAUCCUCAUUAACCCUGAGUCCCAGUAGCCAAUACACUGAGACAGUUUCUUUAGCUUUGUCUCCCAGUAACCUUAAACCUGCCCAGAGCAGUCAGGUGUUGUAAGACAGCUCUGCCCACGCCUGCCUGUGCUGGCUGGGCUGCUCUUUCACAUUUUCAAUCCUGCCUUCCCCAUCCUCCUUUGGGCUCCUCCUCAGGGGUGCCCCGAGCCUCUGAGUCUGGCCCCAGGCUGCCACUUUGACCCACAAUAGGAUGCUUCCAAACCAAACCUGCUUGUCCCAUAGCAGGACUCCCCACAGUAGGCUCAGUAAAGGCUUCCCACUAGUGACCACCGGGGUGACACCCUUCCCCCUUGACAUCUGGUGAAGUCUGUAUGUGGUUGUCACCACUGGGGGGAGAGGGUGGGAGGUCAGGAGGCUGCCCUAGAGCAGUGACCCGGCUGUAGAUGUUGUUACCGGUGUUGGAGAAGCCCUGGGGCCCGGAGGAGGGGGCCACCUUGUCCUGGUGAGCCACCCUGCACUGAGCUCUCUGUUCCAUAUUCAACACAAGAGGUCUGGGUCCAAUCAACAGUGCAAAGCCGUUCCCACCUGCUAUGUCUAUUUCUUUAUUUCUUUAUUUACUUAUUUAUUUACUUACUUACUUAUUUAUUUAAUUAUUUAUUUAAUUAUUUAUUUAAUUAUUUAAUUAUUUAUUUAUUUAUUUAUUUAUUUUCAAGAUAGGGUUUCCCUAUGUAGCCCUGGCUGUCCUGGAAGUUGCUCUGUAGACCAGGCUGGCCUCGAACUCAGAGAUCCACCUGCCUCUGCCUCUCAGGUGCUGGGAUUAAAGGCAUGCACCCCCACCUCCCUGCCUUCCUUCCCUAUGUCUUUAACUGCAGUGUCUCUGGUCUAACAAGGACGGAUACCCACUCCGGAGACCAGAGGGAAACCAGGACACCGAGAUGCCAGGUGACUUGCUGCAGGUCAUACAGUCAUCUGGGUAGACCCAGGAAGAGAAACUUGUCUCCAGGCCAGUAGUGCAUACAUACGGGGCUGUCGCCUCGAUGGAUGUGUGCUAAGUUCGAAUGGGAGGGCUAGCAUUAUGCACAGGUGGGGACCGAGGCCGCGUCUGAGACGCUGAACCUCCCGGAAGUGGCUCUCUGGCCAUGGGGCAGCCCUCUCCAACACCACCCUUCGCUCCUGGCUGCUAGGCGGAUGGGCAGGGUUGCAGUCUCUGCAUUAAAGUUUACCCAGUCAGGCUUAUUCCGGGUCUGAAGAACUGGAACCAAAUGUACCUCCGACCUCUGCUUCGUGGUCUUCCUUCGGCAGAGUGGGGCGAGCGCACCGUCGGUUUGGGGGUGUGGAUUUCUUUUUUCUUUUUCUUUUUUUCGGAGCUGGGGACCGAACCCAGGGCCUUGCGCUUGCUAGGCAAGCGCUCUACCGCUGAGCUAAAUCCCCAACCCCUAUGGAUUUCUUUAUAGUACCCCUUGGACUUGUUUUAUUUUGCUUUCUGUUUUUGUAGUCUAGCCUGGCCUUGAGGUCACAUUCCCCUGCCUCUGCUUCCUGAGUGGUGGGACCGCAGACACACACGGCCAUGCCUAACACAUUUCUUUGAAGCCUUCAGCGUUAUCUUUAAGUUAACGUCUUCCGCUCUCCGACGUCACUCUUUUUAUGUUAAAGCAACCGCUGGCAUCGGAUCCGAGUGAAGUGGACAGUUAGCACCCUGUCUGCUCGGAGCUCUCCUGGGAUUUCCCAGAACCUCCCCCACACAGCCUCUCUAGCCACAAGUGGUUGCCGGGCUCCACACGGGGCCACAGCGCCCCCUAGGGACGCUACAAGGAACUGGCCCACUCCACUAGGCUAUUGAAAUCUGGUUUCGUGUGCACAAGGCUGCUGGGAAUGCAGAAUGAACAGGGCCAUCUCUGAGGAUCUCAUAGCCCUGGGAAAGCCCUGGGCACAACCUUGAGAAGAACGGUUUUGUGGGUAGAUACUUGCUGAGGUAAUGGCUUCCUUGAGAAAGUCUCUGGGGACCAUAUUGAUCAGAAAUGGGACCAUAUUGACUCAGAAGAGUCCUUGGGGAGGCAGCUGCAGAAAUGAGACCGAAUGGGGGACAAUUGCUUCAUAGGGUGUACGGGCAUGUACUGUGUCUCUCUUCACAGAAGGAACACGGUCCCCUUAGCAAGCCCGUGGGGCUCGGCUGUGGUGAGGGCCGUAGCAAUGGAGUCAGGGGAAAGACUCAGUGCCAGCUUUGAAGGAUCUUCCUUAAUAUCCUUAUGAGGGUUGAAGUUCAUUUCAAGGCUUCAGAGCGGGGUUGGGGAUUUAGCUCAGUGGUAGAGCGCUUGCCUAGGAAGCGCAAGGCCCUGGGUUCGGUCCCCAGCUCCGAAAAAAAGAACCAAAAAAAAAAAAAAAAAAAAAAAAAAGGCUUCAGAGCUGCAGUUGGGCCACACCCAGAGCAUUCUGGUCAAAUACUGUUGGUGAUGACCCUGAGGGGUUUGAGACUGGAGGACAUCAGGAGAAGAGACUAGCUUGAAGAGGGCCCAGCGGCUGAGACAUUCUUAGCAGGGGCUGGGUCCCGGGAGGCCCCCAACACAGCUGGUUUAGAAGUGUGUCCCUCCAGGGUGGCUUCAGGAUUGGAGAUGGGAUGUUGACUGAUAAGGACCUUUUUUCUUUUCACACUCCUGACUCUAGCAAGGGCUUCCUGGGCCUCCUAGGGACACCCCUGGGGUCUAAAGCUGGCCUGUAGGAGCCGAGGUGGGGUUUUCCUCUGGUUGGCUUUUCCACCCAGAUGCAGCCCCAUUGCUACUUCCUGUGAGGUAGCUCAUUAUCUCGUGGAUUGCAACGAGGUAAAGAUAACGACUGCCUGAGGAAACCGGAGGAGACCGGAGGAAACCAGCCUGUCCCAUCUGUGCCUCCGAUUUCCAUUUUGCCUGAGAUUUCCCAGCCAUUGGAAGCCAAACUCCAAGAGAGGUAACUGCUCCAUACACUUCCCUGAGAACUUCCGAAGAGGAGGCCAAAGAGAGGUACAGUCUGUCCUGCCCAGGUUGGGGACAUAAACAGCUCAGUGCUAGACUCCUUCCCCCACCCCCGCACCCCAAACCACAGCCCUGGGGGCCAGAAAGAUAGCUCAGUGGUUAGGAGCACUGGCUACUCCUCCAGAGGACCACAGGCUUUGUCUGAAGACACAGAGCCACUCUGGAGUCAGGACCCCAGGUCCUUGCUUAUAGAUAGACUUCUUUCCCUUUCUUCCUGGUGUUCUUCCUGUGGUGUGUGUGGGAGCGUGUUGGGGGUGUGGUGUAUGCGUGUGUGUGUGGGGGGGCACAGCUCUGUGAAAUGGGAAGAUGAGAUCCACCUUGUGAGACAACCGGGAAAUCCCUGUCCCCAACCCUUCUCAGAGUUCUUACUGUCAUGACCCAGAACUCUCAGGAGAAGAGACCCCACCCCUGGAGAGCCUCACCUCGUAUAUGUUGAACUGACUCUGGCCGCGUGCCAGCUCCCGGUAGCUGGUGGUGAACUCUCCAAUGAAAUCAUGGCUGAAAGAGAAGAAGGUGCCAAGGCUGGAGGCCCAGGCACACACAGGCUCUCCCAAGGCCUGCCCGGCCCCCAUUCCACCAGGGCCUCCACAGAGUAUGGGAAAGGAGCUGUGGACCGAGAAAGCCAAUGGCUACUUGGCAGAAGUGGGAGAAGGAGCAGCAGGUCUCCUUGGAUUCUUAUUUAAAUGAUCCAGAAAAGGCAUCUGGGGACAAGCUCUGCCGAGGGAGGGGAACGGUUGGAUGGCAGUCAGCAUUACCGCUCAAUAUGUCAGGAUCUGAACCCCAGGGCUCUGCCUCCAAGCCACACACCCAGGUCUCCCGCUGACACAUCCUAAACGGUGAGAGCCAGGUGGCAGGGGUCUUUUCCCAAAGCGUGUUUAUAUCAAACACAGCGAGAACUUGCAUAAACCGCCCUCCCAAUCCUGACUGGAGCACCCAGGUGUCUCUGGGGCCGUGCCCUGCUGUGAGCCCUCGGCAGCUUUUGUUUUGAUUUUUCAAAGCUAUACAAAGUAAUGGAUUUCACUGCAAAACUUUCAUACACAUAAACACUUUGGUUGCGGGGGGAGUUAUUGGUUUGUGUGUGUGUGUGUGUGUGUGUGUGUGUUUGAACCACAAAUGUCUAUGGAGGUCAUGAGACAACUUUACGGAGUACGUUCUCUCUGCCCACCUUUUACGUGGGUUCCCAGGAUUGAAUGCAGGUUGUCUGGCUAGGCAGGAGCUCUAACCACUGAGCUACACUCUAUUGACAACAGUCCUUCAGGGGAUGGUAACCUGAUGAUGGGACCCUGUGACUCCUGGAGGCUGUCCCAAGUUGCCAGAGAAGGGAAGACUCCCAAGGUAAAGGAUGGAUGUAGGGGAACUUCUAGGAGAGGAGGGAGCAGAUUGGGUUGGAGGCAUGAUGGAGCUGACCUACUGGAAGGGAUGGGAAGGCAGGGGUGAGGUUUAAGAGGGGCAAGGUGGGCCCUGGAGAAUCUUCCAUGGCUUGGGCUUAGCUCAGCUAUCCUGGCGCAGUGCCUUUUCAUAAUAAGAGCACCACCCUGGCCAUAUCAGACCCGGGAGAUGUCAACUGUGACCACGCUUAAGCUGGGAUAUGUCUGGAUUUGCUUCAGCAGAGGAGUGGGAGACAGGGAAGGUUCUGGAUCAGUGUUUUGAGAGACACGCUCCUGUUCUGUCUAGGAGUUGCCAACCACACUUGCUCCUCAUGGGGUACUUAGACCUGCCUCCUACAGUUCCCAAGCGGAAGUCACCCUCCUGCAGGCCUGACUUAGCCCCCCUUCAGGCAGUGCCUUAUCUUUCCUGAGCCUCAGAACACCCCGCCUCGGCUGUCCUUACAGACAUGUCUAUGCUCCGUGUUUACAGUGAGUCUCUGCUGGACUGUGGCGUGUCUCUGGGUGACUCUUCCUCCACAGUCUGGCCUUCCUAUAGUGCUUUGUCCAAGGCUUCACACAGAGAAAGGAGGUGUCUGGGAAUCCUCAGUGUCCUAUCAACAAGGGCACUUCAGAGCAUUCCCAGUUCUGCAAGUGAGGAGAGUGUGGGCAUGGGCUGGCUGCUGGCAGCUAUGUUGGGGAAAGGAGGGCUCUCGGCAUCCUGUCCUGCAGGACCUCCGUGGAUCUAAGCUACUAUGACAGCAGACCAACCUGCAUGGGACCUAAACCCUCAUUCCCGGAGUGCCCGGAUGGGCCUGCCUCACUUCCCGGGGCUGUCUAUGACCACUCACCUCUCUCUCUCACCCUUCAUGCCCUUACCUGCCAUCACGAUCCCAGUCGUACACCUCCACCUUGAUGGUCCUAGAAAACAAACAGCAAAGAAUUCUGGGUAUGAUAGACCUGAGGAUGAACCUCCUACUCCUGUACCAGGAGGGAUGCGUGCAAACACUCCUCCACGUUCCAAGUCCGUGUGCAAAGAUAACCCAUCUUAAGACCUUUUAGCAAAGGUCUUAGGGACAAAGGCCACCCCAGAGCCAGGGCAGGACAUUUUGAGAUUUCCAGCAUUUGGCUGAAGCGGCCUCAGGCCUCUGUCUGCUUUCUUAGCUUCCAUAGAUGGAGUAGAAGCCUCAACAGGAAGUCAAACUGGGUAUUUACCUGAGGCAGGGUCAUGGCAGAUCUCACAAUGAAGCAGGGGCUUCUCUGUGGGAGAGGAUUACAAGACUGCCUGGCAGGGGGGACCCUGAGUCUGGUGAAGAGCCAGCCCCAGCCCUGCAGGUUAAGAAAGGGUCCCCAGGCCCUGACUUGGGGUGGCUUGCUGAGCUUACCCUCCCUGAGACUGGCCUCUGAGGAAAGGGUGGGAUUUUCUUCACAUUCUAACCCAGGCUGCUUUAAUUAGUUUGUUUUGACUCCUAAGCAUGGGGCUGGGCUUUGAGAGCCCAUCUUAUUUUUAGCCUCGUUCCCAUGGCAACAGGCUAGAGGACCAGAAGCAGGAGGAGGGAGGUGGAGGGUUGCGGGUUAACCCUUGGUGCUUGUCUGCUCUGUCCUCUGGGAUGCCCAGGGAUAGAGAAGCUGCCAGGCAGCACCAGGGGUCUAGGAUGGUGGGAGAGGCCCGGGAAGUGUGGGUUUCUGGUCUUGAGGUCCACAUGGGAUGCAGAAAGCAGUUUGAACUGGCUUCUCUUCUGUUAACAUCUAUCCCACUGCGCUGCGGUCCACCUUCUUGGCUUUGCCAGGAGUUGGCUCGGGAGUUCUGUGGCUCCCAGAAGGGGGUGCUGUCUCCUUUCAGAUGAGUAUCUCUAGGCUCUCUCUCUCUCUCUCUCUCUCUCUCUCUCUCUCUCUCUCUCUCUCUGUGUGUGUGUGUGUGUGUGUGUGUGUGUGUGUGUGUGUCACAGAAUGGGGGAGAAGAAAGUUCCAGAAUAGAACCCUGGGAUGCCCAGAAGGUCGUGCCAGCCUUCUGCAAAUGAAACAGUAAGAAGCAGACAGAGAAAGAAGCACUGUUUCCUUUGUGAUCUUGUUUUAUAAACGUGAGCCCUGUGGUUCUGUGAGCCAGAUUAUUAAAGCGAAAGAUCAGGUGUCAGCGUGCCUUAGUUUCUGAGGGUGCUGCGAAGAGGCCAGGUGUGACGUUGGUGGCUUCAGCUUAGACACUGGACCUGAGCCCUGUGGCUUGGAGGUGGCUCAUCUGUCUGAACCACAAGCCCUGAGUGUAGACUAGGAGGAGGAGUAUGGGCCUGGCAGGGUAGCUCACUCCGUGUGUGUGAGUGUGUGUAUAUGUGUGGCUGUGUGUGCAUGUGUGCGUGUGUGUGUGUCUGCGAAUGUGUGUAUGUGUGUAUGUGUCUGUAUGUCUGUGUGUGUGUGCAUGUGUGUCUGUGUGUGUCUGUGAGUCUGUGUGUAUUGUGUGUGUAUGUGUGCAUGUGUGUCUGUGAGUGUGUAUAUGUGUGUAUGUGUCUGUAUGUCUGUGUGUGUAUUGUGUAUGUGUGUAUGUGUGUAUGUGUGCAUGUGUGUCUGUGUAUGCGUGUGUGUCUGCGUGUCUGUGUCUGUGUGUGUAUUGUGUGUGUAUGUGUGCAUGUGUGUCUGUGUGUGUGCAUGUGUGUGUCUGUGAGUGUGUGUAUGUGUGUGUGUCUGUGUGUGUAUGUGUGCAUGUGUGUCUGUGUGUCUGUAUUGUAUGUGUAUGUGUGUAUGUGUGUGUAUAUGUGUGUAUGUGUGUCUGAGUGUGUGUGUAUGUGUGUAUAUGUGUGUGUAUGUGUAUGUGUGUGUAUAUGUGUGUAUGUGUGUCUGAGUGUGUGUGUAUGUGUGUAUAUGUGUGUAUAUGUGUUUGUGUAUGUGUGUGUAUAUGUUUGUGUAUGUAUGUGUGUGUGUGUGUGUGUGUGUGUGUGUGUGUGUGUGUAUGGUCGGAUGUCUAGAAAAUGCCUCUUGAUUCCCACAUAAUCUAACCAUGCAUGCUUUUACAUAAAAUUUACUUAAAACAGGGCUGUGGUGUCACAGGCCUUUCAUCCCAGCACUCAGGAGGCAGAGGAGGGCAGCCAAGGCUACAUAGUGAGGCCCCAUUCCAAAAACAACAACAACAACAACAACAACAACAACAUCCUGCAGCUGUCAGAGAUCUCCUAACACUCUUGUGAAAUGGACUACCCUGGGGACAGUAACCCUGACUACCCAGAGCACAGAAGGAGGUCCUGAGUGUGUGCCUGGCGAGACACCUCUGUGGAUAAAGACACCGUGGCCAAGCCUGACAACCUGAGGGUGAGCCCCAGGAUCCACACGUGGGGGUGUGUGUAAAGCUGACUCCUGACCUGUCCUCUGACCUCCACAGCUGUGCUGUACAGAAGGUAUCCCUCCUCCUCCACCAACAGAUAAACACGCGCCAUUAAAAAAAAAUUAAAUCUCGAGCUGGAGAGAUGGCUCAGUGGUUAGAGCACUGACUGCUCUUCCAGAGGUCCUGAGUUCAAUUCCCAGCAACCACAUGGUGGCUCACAACCAUCUGCCAUGGGAUCUGAUGCCCUCUUCUGGUGUGUCUGAGGACAGCCACAGUGUACUUAUAUAGAUUAAAUAAAUGAACAAUUCUAAAAAAUUAA